AACAUUAUCUGUUAAUUUGUUUAAAUGACAUUUAAAUGUGGGUCGCAACGACCGAGGGUUCCCGAGGGAGAAGAUUACGGGGGACAACAAAGGCAUCUCUCGCACACCUUGCGAGGCAUAAGUGUCGCUUAUUCAACCACCCACAGAGAAACCUGUGAUCGAUUGAACUUUGUCAUUAUCUUACUUGCGGUUCUUCUUAGGCGAUUGGCGACAAUGUGAUCAGGUUUCUUAGCUGAUUCUAUGCAUUAUGGUAGCUUCUGAGUCAUGUGCAAGCUCGAGAACGCGUUAAAAAAAAACACACACACACAGAGGAACACAUCUCACGACGUAGUAAGGCUUUCUUUGUGUAGCCGUUUCAGCUGGGUUUUGAGCUCAUGUGUGCCAGUCGACCGAAGGAGGGUAAACUCGGUGAUAACUUUACUCCUUGGAUGCUGAGUCUUGACAGAUCAGUCACAAACAACUUUCAUCGGUCGGAUGUUUGUCAUUCGGAGUGAAUGAACUGGUCUAUUUUUUUUUCUUUCUCAAGGGUGCUUCUUGCCGGAUGUCGGUGAUGCUGUCUUCAGACCAAGACUGAUCGCCUUAGUUGCUGAGGAAUUCUGAAACAAGACCCUUCUCAAAAGAAGGAGGGCUCGGAACGCCUCAGCAAAAGCCGCGAGGAGGUCAGCGCUGCUCGUGCCAGGUUUUUCCGAGAAACAAACUUCAGUCAAUCGAAACCCUCCCCGACGCCAGUCAAAUCAACC